GGUGCUCCAUACUGCGGUGACACACAACGGUACUAAUACAUCAAAAAUCUAUCUUUGGAAGCAUGCUCCCCUGCUCAAACAUUUAAAACACCAGGAUUUCAUCACGGGGCAGACUAAGUGCAAGAAUUCUUCCCGGGUGUUGAAGUUCUGCAACCACCACCACACCAUCAGGACCGGACAGCAACGGGCGGACGGAGAUGGUGGAUGAGAGCUGCCAGGUGCAUGCAACUUCUUGCCCAAGAUUUCCAAGACCUGAUGGUGUGGAGAGCUUUAAAAGAAGGAUCUGAAGGAAAGCAGUGAUGCAACUUCGUGGGUGCCUCUUGCUGUGAUUUAGUGCUGUCUGUGCUCAGGCACCAGCUCAGCCUGCAGCCAGGCAUCACUUCUAUCACUAAAGUAGUGCUGCACACUGUGUGGAUAUCCCACAGACUAGUCAAAAGAGGACAAAGCAUCUCUCCUCUCACUUGGAGUACAGCAUGCACCAGUAACUUGCAUGAGAAUUGUAUUACCCAGAACCUGCAUGAUGACUUCACACACCACAAAAUAUGGGCAGUCACAGGAGUGCAACUGCAGGGGCCCUCCUUGGCUUUCUUCAGAUCACAGUUUGCCAGCUCCCAUCCCAGAAAUGUGAGUCCUGAGAAUGACUGCAGAAACUUUUACUUGUCUGAGCUCCAGGAGUAUUUAUGUAAUUUAAUCGAUGAACUGCACUGAUUUAUUUGCACUAAGUAACUCCUUGGGAUCUGGAUAAUAGAUAAGGGUGUGCACAGUGCUGUACAAACACAUCAUAAAUAAAUGCAGCUUGCAAAUCAAUUGUCAGAUAUUGAUGAUUAAUCUCCUUAUAGUAAAAUAAUGUUACAUCUGUCCAUUAUGGCUUUUUUUUCUUUUCUUUUUUUAAUUUUAAAAUUGACCUAAGAGGUUUCAGAGUUAUUUAUUUCAGGAAAGCUGCCCUUUAAGCCAGAUCUUAUGCUUCUUAAAAGGUCAUAGGGUCUAAAUAUCAUGGUUACUUACAAAGCAUGGCUCCCUGAGAGGUCUGACAGCUGCCUUCAUCAGAGCAAAUCAAGGUCCUGUACAAAUAAAUGCUUGGCCAUGAAGCUGAAGGCUGUGUUCUUGCAGGGAAUUUCACACUAUCGUCCACUUUGGCUGCUGGUGCUGCAUACAUAGAGUGCUGUAAAGGUUAUCCCAUCUGGCUCCCAAAGCCUGCAUACAUCAGCACAUGUGAGGUGCUGCAGCACAGACAUUUACCUUCAUUAAGUCACCAGCUGGUUCAAUUCCUGACAUUAGUGAGAGAGCUGGGUGCAUGAUAAUGUAGUGCUUUACUAACUGCAUUUGUGCGAGUUUUAUGCAAGAGAAAAAUAGAGUUAGGUACAAUUAUGGAUAUGCUGAGCCAGUGAACCGCUUUCUCAGAUACCUGAGCCAGAUGAGGCUGCCACUAUCACAGCCAUUGCCCAUCCUCAGCUCUCCCAAGCAGUGUACAGCUGAGCUCACUUCCAGUCUCAUCCACCUUACAACACAGAGAGACAGUGUUUCUUUUAUACCUGUUCAUUAGGUAUUCUUAAAAAAGAAGAAACCUCCUUCUGUCUUCUCAUCCUCUCACAGAACAUGGAGGACAGAGAUAGAGAGCCAUGUGGUCCAAAGUCAUCUAUGAAAUCCAUAGGUUGGGUGCUACUUGGUGCUUCUAAUUAUUUAUUUAUGUAACAAGGAAAAACAGCUUUUAAAGUAAUUUCUCUGCAAUUGUUUGUCAUACUUACAAUGCUGUUCUGUCACUCUUUUGUUGUACUCUCUUUUUAUGCCAUUUUAGGCAUACAUAACUGUUUUUUUGUUGUUGUUGUUGUUUGUUUGUUGUUUUCU